rnacentral:rRNA from 1 species
GACGAACGCUGGCGGCGUGCUUAACACAUGCAAGUCGAACGGAAAGGCCCUGCUUUUGUGGGGUGCUCGAGUGGCGAACGGGUGAGUAACACGUGAGUAACCUGCCCUUGACUUUGGGAUAACUUCAGGAAACUGGGGCUAAUACCGGAUAGGAGCUCCUGCUGCAUGGUGGGGGUUGGAAAGUUUCGGCGGUUGGGGAUGGACUCGCGGCUUAUCAGCUUGUUGGUGGGGUAGUGGCUUACCAAGGCUUUGACGGGUAGCCGGCCUGAGAGGGUGACCGGCCACAUGGGGACUGAGAUACGGCCCAGACUCCUACGGGAGGCAGCAGUGGGGAAUAUUGCACAAUGGGCGGAAGCCUGAUGCAGCAACGCCGCGUGCGGGAGGACGGCCUUCGGGUUGGAAACCGCUUUCGCCUGUGACGAAGCGUGAGGGACGGGAAUGGGGAAAGAAGCACCGGCUAACUACGG